rnacentral:rRNA from 1 species
GAUGAACGCUGGCGGCGUGCCUAAUACAUGCAAGUCGAGCGAACAGACGAGGAGCUUGCUCCUCUGACGUUAGCGGCGGACGGGUGAGUAACACGUGGAUAACCUACCUAUAAGACUGGGAUAACUUCGGGAAACCGGAGCUAAUACCGGAUAAUAUAUUGAACCGCAUGGUUCAAUAGUGAAAGACGGUUUUGCUGUCACUUAUAGAUGGAUCCGCGCCGCUUUAGCUAGUUGGUAAGGUAACGGCUUACCAAGGCAGCGAUGCGUAGCCGACCUGAGAGGGUGAUCGGCCACACUGGAACUGAGACACGGUCCAGACUCCUACGGGAGGCAGCAGUAGGGAAUCUUCCGCAAUGGGCGAAAGCCUGACGGAGCAACGCCGCGUGAGUGAUGAAGGUCUUCGGAUCGUAAAACUCUGUUAUUAGGGAAGAACAAAUGUGUAAGUAACUAUGCACGUCUUGACGGUACCUAAUCAGAAAGCCACGGCUAACUACGUG